CAAAGAUCGAACCCUUUGUAGUGUUGAAAGAUGAUGCAUAAUUUCUUUAUGCAAAUCAAUACUUUACUUCCUGUCUUGGGCUUAAAAAGCAGGAAAUGGUCCGUCUUCCCUGAUCAGAGUAGUGUGCCAGUUCAGUAACAGAUACCAUGUUUGUCUUGUGCUUUAUUUUGUGCCUCUCAUUUCUCUCUGAGGUCAAGUCUGAUAUUGAGCUUGUUCAGCCAAGUUCAGAAAUUAAAUCACCUGGUGAGAGUGUUAAACUGUCCUGCAAGACAUCAGGUUACACAUUCACUGGCUCCUGGAUACACUGGAUACAGCAGGUUCCUGGGAAAGGAUUGCAAUGGAUAGGCAUGAUAUUUCCUAGAGAUGCAGAUACACGCUACUCACCCUCAUACCAAGGAAGGUGCCACAUUAGCACUGAUAAUUCACAAAGCACAGCAUUCCUGCAACUGAACAAUCUAAAAGUGGAGGACACUGCCAUAUAUUACUGUGCUAAAGACACAGUGAAAACAACCAACUGACUAGUCAUACAAAAUCAUUCCAUGAAGUCAUGCUACCACUAGAGAGCACCACCACACAAAUAACACUAUACAUUUCUUUAAA